UAAGCAUAUCAAUAAGCGGAGGAAAAGAAACCAACAGGGAUUGCCCUAGUAACGGCGAGUGAAGCGGCAACAGCUCAAAUUUGAAAUCUGGCUUUCGGGCCCGAGUUGUAAUUUGUAGAGGAUACUUUUGAUGCGGUGCCUUCCGAGUUCCCUGGAACGGGACGCCAUAGAGGGUGAGAGCCCCGUCUGGUUGGAUGCCAAAUCUCUGUAAAGUUCCUUCGACGAGUCGAGUAGUUUGGGAAUGCUGCUCUAAAUGGGAGGUAUAUGUCUUCUAAAGCUAAAUAUUGGCCAGAGACCGAUAGCGCACAAGUAGAGUGAUCGAAAGAUGAAAAGCACUUUGAAAAGAGAGUUAAAAAGUACGUGAAAUUGUUGAAAGGGAAGCGUUUAUGACCAGACUUGGACUUGGUUAAUCAUCUGGGGUUCUCCCCAGUGCACUUUUCCAGUUCAGGCCAGCAUCAGUUUUCGCCGGGGGAUAAAGGCAGCGGGAAUGUGGCUCUCUUCGGGGAGUGUUAUAGCCCGUUGUGUAAUACCCUGGUGGGGACUGAGGUUCGCGCUUCUGCAAGGAUGCUGGCGUAAUGGUCAUCAACGACCCGUCUGAA
rnacentral:rRNA from 1 species